rnacentral:rRNA from 1 species
AUACGGAGGGCGCAAGCGUUGUUCGGAAUCAUUGGGCGUAAAGCGCGCGUAGGCGGCUUGGAAAGUCGGGUGUGAAAUCCCGGGGCUCAACCCCGGAACUGCACUCGAAACUUCCUAGCUAGAGUCUCGGAGAGGUAGGCGGAAUUCCCGGUGUAGAGGUGAAAUUCGUAGAUAUCGGGAGGAACACCAGUGGCGAAGGCGGCCUACUGGACGAUGACUGACGCUGAGGUGCGAAAGCAUGGGGAGCAAACAGGAUUAGAAACCCGGGUAGUCC